AAGGGAUAGUAUAAAGAUUAUAGAAAGCUGUUAACUUUUUGAUGUGCAAAAGCACUCUCUUAGA
rnacentral:tRNA from 1 species